AUUGAAGUGCCUGAUAAAAGGAUUACUAUGAUAGAGUAAAUUAUGUGAUUCUAUUCAAUCACCUUCAUUA
rnacentral:tRNA from 1 species